UUUGAAGUCAGCACAUGACCCCACAUUUGAAUGUGGGGAAGAAACAGGCUUUAAAACUGCACGCUCAGCUAAUCGCAGUGGAGGUAGCCAGGGCACCUCUGCAAAGAGAAGCUGUCUGCAAAGCCGGAGACUGAAACCAGCAACUCUUCACAUAUAAUAGAGGAACUACAAAAGGCUUGUAGGCAGGAAAAUUUUCAAAGACUGAUAGUCAACACAUUUUUUAACUCCCUGGAUACCAAGCAGCUUUAAGAGAAAGGUCUUCUCUGCACCCAGGAAGGCCCUUUUAAGUUCAGCUACUUCCGAUACUUUUCAUCAGCAAGAAUCUCACUCUGGACUCAUGGCUUUGUAACCAACCCUAAGGAG